AUUAAUAAGCUACUCUUAAUUUACUUUUUAAUAUAUAAAUAUAAUUAAAAUAUAUUAUGUAAUAUUUUAAUUUUUCGCGUGAUUUCGAUUAUAGAAUUUGCUUACGCCAGCCAAUCAGAAAGCCGUUAGGCGAACUGUAGCGUACGGCGUCAGUCUCCUGUGGAAAGUCAUCGUGAUAGGACGCGUAUUUGUAACUAGCUUUGCUGAUUUGAAUACGCAAUAUUUCCAUUUCUUCGUAUUCGAUGGCUAUUUUGCAAUGAUAUUCUAUAGAUUACAGCAACAUUGAUGACAGAGUAGAUUUUUGCAUUUAUUGAGAUCAAUGUGGAAUCAAUGUGGAAUUAAUAAAGGAUUCUUAUAUUCAUAUUAUCUUCUGGUUUUAUUGAGAUUUUUUGGUAGAUAGACUUCCUAAAUAAAUCUUUAAAUUAUUGUGUAAGAAAAUUAUUUCUUUUAGAUUUGAGUAUUAAAACGAGUAUUAGUUAAUUAUGUAGAUAGGGAAUAGAAUUGUAGAUUUAGAUGAUAUUAUUUCAAUAUUUCUUAAAUCAGGUCAUAUUGUAAAUUUCAUUUACAAAUAUUUUUAAAUUUAAUUAAGUUAAAGAAUUUAUGAAAUUUUUCCAAGUAAAAGAUUUAAAAUAUAAAUAAUAAUAAUAAUAAUAUUAAUAAUAUAAUAAACUUAUAGCACUACAGAAAUACUGUUUAAAGUAUAUUUAUAAAUGCAUGCAUAAUAAAUGAUAAUAGUAAUGAUUGUAGCUGCUAUUAAAAGUGAUGGUAGUCAAUAAAAAUAAAUAUAACUCUGUGUGGAAUA